rnacentral:tRNA from 1 species
UCCCUUGUGGCUCAGAGGUUAAAGCAUCUGCCUGGAAUGCAGAAGAACUGGGUUCAAUCCCUGGGUUGGGAA